AGGACGAACGCUGGCGGCGUGCCUAACACAUGCAAGUCGAACGAGGUCCAACCAAUCGCAAGAUUGGGGAAGACCUAGUGGCGAACGGGUGAGUAACACGUGAGGAACCUGCCCCGAAGACCGGGAUAACGCUCCGAAAGGAACGCUAAUACCGGAUACCUUCACCGGACCGCAUGAUCUGGGGAAGAAAUGGAUUCCGCUUCGGGAGGGUCUCGCGGCUAUCAGCUUGUUGGUGGGGUAAGUGGCCACCAAGGCUUCGACGGGUAGCUGGUCUGAGAGGACGAUCAGCCACACUGGGACUGAGACACGGCCCAGACUCCUACGGGAGGCAGCAGUGGGAAUCUUGCGCAAUGGGCGAAAGCCUGACGCAGCACGACGCGUGGGAGUGAAGGCUCUCGGGUCGUAAACCCUUCAGCAGGACGAAACUGACGGUACCUGCAGAAGAACGCCCCGCCGAACUACGUCGCCAACGCACGCCGCC
rnacentral:rRNA from 1 species